UAGGUGAUGUCUGUCUGCAGUGGGAAGCC
rnacentral:piRNA from 2 species